GCCGGGUGUGGUGGCACGCGCCUGUAAUCCCAGCUACUCAGGAGGCUGAGGCAGGAGAAUCACUUGAACCUGGGAGGCAGAGGUUGCAAUGAGCCGAGAUCGCGCCAUUGCACUCUAGCCUAGGUGACAGAGCGAGACUCUGUCUCAA
rnacentral:SRP_RNA from 1 species